GAUGAACGCUGACAGAAUGCUUAACACAUGCAAGUCAACUUGAAUUUGGGUUUUUAACUUAGAUUUGGGUGGCGGACGGGUGAGUAACGCGUAAAGAACUUGCCUCACAGCUAGGGACAACAUUUAGAAAUGAAUGCUAAUACCUGAUAUUAUGAUUUUAAGGCAUCUUAGAAUUAUGAAAGCUAUAAGCACUGUGAGAGAGCUUUGCGUCCCAUUAGCUAGUUGGAGAGGUAACAGCUCACCAAGGCGAUGAUGGGUAGCCGGCCUGAGAGGGUGAACGGCCACAAGGGGACUGAGACACAGCCCUUACUCCUACGGGAGGCAGCAGUGGGGAAUAUUGGACAAUGGACCGAGAGUCUGAUCCAGCAAUUCUGUGUGCACGAUGAAGUUUUUCGGAAUGUAAAGUGCUUUCAGUUGGGAAGAAAGAAAUGACGGUACCAACAGAAGAAGUGACGGCUAAAUACGUGCCAGCAGCCGCGGUAAUACGUAUGUCACGAGCGUUAUCCGGAUUUAUUGGGCGUAAAGCGCGUCUAGGUGGUUAUGUAAGUCUGAUGUGAAAAUGCAGGGCUCAACUUUGUAUUGCGUUGGAAACUGUAUAACUAGAGUACUGGAGAGGUAAGCGGAACUACAAGUGUAGAGGUGAAAUUCGUAGAUAUUUGUAGGAAUGCCGAUGGGGAAGCCAGCUUACUGGACAAAUACUGACGCUAAAGCGCGAAAGCGUGGGUAGCAAACAGG
rnacentral:rRNA from 1 species